GUUAUGCUAGUUUAUAUUAGAACUGUUGUAUUGCAAACAACAAGAGGAAACAUCCGCAAAACU
rnacentral:tRNA from 1 species